GGUUGACUUGCAGUGAUCUGUGCUCUCAGGCUGAGCAUCGCUUCCUUAAACAGUCAUAUGACAGCGCAGACAAUCUGGCGGAAGAAAGAGACGUCAGCGCUUGUUUUCGGCCCUGCGCACAUAGAGCAGGCUGCCGGUCCGCCCCUGUCUGAGUGCUACGGAAACUUCGCAGGGGGCGUUGGUGAAUGACUGCUCUUUCGUGCGUUGACGUAAAUCAGACUGCAUUUUUUUUUGGUACCGAGCGGAGAGGAGAUGCACACGGCACUCGAGUGAGACACUGGCUUGAUACAGACAUAAGGCGGAUGUGUGUGGUCGUGUGAGAAUCAUAUGAAGCAGCUUAAGGUCAAAGACAUUUUUCCCCCAACUGAGAAAUAACAAGAUUCCUGUCAUCAUCAACAUGGGAAAAGACAGGGAAAAUAUUUUUGAGUGCAUGUCUCAGAAGAGUUGGAAAACCCCCAUACACAGUAGCACCAGUACUGGAGAGCCAGGCAGGAGGAAAAGUAUUCUGGUGA